rnacentral:rRNA from 1 species
AACGCGAAGAACCUUACCAAGGUUUGACAUGGCCGGAAAAGCCGCAGAGAUGUGGUGUCCUUCGGGUCGGUCACAGGUGGUGCAUGGCUGUCGUCAGCUCGUGUCGUGAGAUGUUGGGUUAAGUCCCGCAACGAGCGCAACCCUCGCCCUUAGUUGCCAUCAUUUAGUUGGGCACUCUAAGGGGACUGCCGGUGAUAAGCCGCGAGGAAGGUGGGGAUGACGUCAAGUCCUCAUGGCCCUUACGGGCUGGGCUACACACGUGCUACAAUGGCGGUGACAAUGGGAUGCAAUGGGGCAACCCUGCGCAAAUCUCAAAAAGCCGUCUCAGUUCGGAUUGUGCUCUGCAACUCGAGCACAUGAAGUUGGAAUCGCUAGUAAUCGCAGAUCAGCACGCCGCGGUGAAUACGUUCCCGGGCCUUGUACACACCGACUGUAC